GGCGGGGGGGGGGGGGAAGGGGCAUUAUUCUCUAUUCUGUAAACCUCAUUCACAACCUCAUAUAUCUUGGGUUAUUUCAAAUAAAUAUCUGGUAUUCAAGCGCCUAUUAAUGGGAUAGGAUGCUUAAUACUAUAAGAGUAUCCACAAGUAGAGUUUUGGUGGUCUCUUUUAAAAGUCGGUGCAUGAGAAUAUUAUGCUACAACCAACCAACAAAAAGGGUUGCCUACUAAGUAUAUAAAAGCUAACGAAUAUGCAAAGCAUGUAAUUUUUACGACGCAUGAGUUGGGUGUUAAAGGGGUUCCCAACCGUGAAUAUUAAAUAAUAUAUACGGAUUUGAUUGGCCAAUAAAUGUUUUAACACACGACGCCAUCAAUUUACGUAAAUAUUUGGGAAAUAUACAGACGAUAUUUCGCAAUCCACGGC
rnacentral:lncRNA from 1 species